rnacentral:rRNA from 1 species
UGACCUACGGGAGCAGCAGUGAGGAAUAUUGGUCAAUGGCCGAGAGGCUGAACCAGCCAAGUCGCGUGAGGGAUGACGGCCCUACGGGUUGUAAACCUCUUUUGUCGGGGAGCAAGACCCGCCACGAGUGGCGGAGCGAGAGUACCCGAAGAAAAAGCAUCGGCUAACUCCGUGCCAGCAGCCGCGGUAAUACGGAGGAUGCGAGCGUUAUCCGGAUUUAUUGGGUUUAAAGGGUGCGUAGGCGGAUUUUUAAGUCAGCGGUAAAAUGUCCGGGCUCAACCCGGGCCGGCCGUUGAAACUGGGGG